UCUAUAUACCGUGCAUGUGUUGCGGCAUUGACCCCAUUGCUUUCACUAUCAAUGUGCGCGUCUUUCGCUUAGCUCACUGCGCUUUAGAUCCUGAAAGCAACGAACGUGACCGCAACCUCUUGUUGCUUUCAUACCCAAUGCGUGUUAUACACUCGUGUAUAUCGCGCAUAAGAAAGCUUAUACAUGUAUUGCUACGGCAUUACAUCACAAACUAGAGGGACCGCUGUUACUUUCUUAAACCAGAGGAAGGUUGCGGCAAUAACAGGUCUGUGAUGCCCUUAGAUGUUCCGGGCUGCACACGUGCUACAAUGAUUAUUGCAGUGAGCAUCUCAUUUUUUACUACACCGCAUGCGCGAGUCUAUUUGUCUGCUCUGCUUCGGCUAUGCUGCUCAAAUACGAUCUCUGCGCGCGGUAAAGCCUACUUCGAAAGUAAGCGGGUAAUCAAUUAGAAGUAAUGAUUUCCUAUUUUCUCUGCACACAUAUAUGCGGCACAUCUACCCGGCAUGCCUUGUUGCAUGUUCUUUGUGCGUAGAUGUGUACCCUUUUUCCGCAUGUGCAAUUGUCAAUUCAUGGUGGGGA
rnacentral:rRNA from 1 species